CUGGUUGGAAUUCUGAUAUAUCUAAAUGACAACAUUUUUUUCCGUUCGGUGUUCCAACGAGUAUAGACGGGUAAUGAAUUCAUAACAAAAAUAUUUACUUUUGUAAUCACUAUAUUCUUUAUAUUAUUAAUUUAAAGUUUUGCAGGAAUGUGUCUGGCUAUUUUGUUUUUCAUUUUAUGCUCUGGUGGAAUGGUAAAGAAUUGGUCAAGCUGGUUUGCGCUGUGAGGGAGCGGUAAAGAAUUGGUCAAGCCGGUUUGCGCUGUGAGUUUUGUGCGUUACAUGUUUUAAGACCUUCGGCGUGAAAUUUUCAUACUAACCACAUGUAUUGUUUGUGCAGGAUGGGUAUGAAUUGAGAAAGCAUUUUUUAUUAUACUUGCUAAAACAUCGUGGGAAUGAAGCUAGAGGAAACUUUCCUGAUAUCGUGAAAAAAUUUCUUAAGCACAUCAUCUAGAUAUUAAUAGUUUUAUAACAGAUGUUCAG
rnacentral:lncRNA from 1 species